UAGGGAAUAUUCCACAAUGAGCAAAAGCUUGAUGGAGCGACACAGCGUGCACGAUGAAGGUCUUCGGAUUGUAAAGUGCUGUUAUAAGGGAAGAACAUUUGCAAUAGGAAAUGAUUGCAGACUGACGGUACCUUGUCAGAAAGCGAUGGCUAACUAUGUGCCAGCAGCCGCGGUAAUACAUAGGUCGCAAGCGUUAUCCGGAAUUAUUGGGCGUAAAGCGUUCGUAGGCUGUUUGUUAAGUCUGGAGUUAAAUCCCGGGGCUCAACCCCGGCUCGCUUUGGAUACUAGCAAACUAGAGUUAGAUAGAGGUAAGCGGAAUUCCAUGUGAAGCGGUGAAAUGCGUAGAUAUAUGGAAGAACACCAAAGGCGAAGGCAGCUUACUGGGUCUAUACUGACGCUGAGGGACGAAAGCGUGGGGAGCAAACAGG
rnacentral:rRNA from 1 species